rnacentral:misc_RNA from 1 species
UCUAAGGAGCACCACGAAAAGCACCCCAACUGGUGGGGUGCGAGCCGUGAGGGGUUCCCGUCUGUAGUGGACGGGGGCCGGGUGCGCAACAGCAAAUGAUUGCCAGACACACUAUUGGGCCCUGAGACAACACUCGGUCCGUCCGUGUGGAGUCCCUCCAUCUUGGUGGUGGGGUGUGGUGUUUGAGUAUUGGAUAGUGGUUGCGAGCAUCUAGAUGAGCGCAUGGUCUUGGUGGCCGGCGUUCAUCGAAAUGUGUAAUUUCUUUUUUAACUCU